UGUUAGCUCAGCUCCUCACUCACACACACCGGCCGCGGGGUUUCUCUUCAUUCUGAAACUGUGAAAUUUCACUGUACACACAGAGAUGAGUAUCAACACUGUUCUCCGUCUGCUCUGCCUGACUCUCGUGGCUGGAACUCAUUUAAACGGGAUUAACGCGGACAAAUCCUGUACGAAAACUGACUUCUAUAACAGUGAUAUUGGUGAAUGUGUACCCUGCUCUUCAUGCAUACAGUACCCCAAAACCCCAUCGUGUGACACAUGCCCACCGCCAUCAGAGCCUCUUAAUUCCUGGAGGGUGGCAGCCAUCACCAGUUUCUCAGUGCUGGCAGCUGUGGUUGUUUUCGGAGCUUUGGUUAUAGGAGUGCUGGUACAUCAAUGCAAAUCCAAAAGAACCCUAAGUGAGCCGAUUGAAGAAACUACAGGCCCUCUUUAUCCUGUAUAGGCAUAUAACUAUCCUAAUGGAAUAGAGCUCCAGACAUGAUGAGAUGAUGGUUCAGUCAGAGAGCUGGCUGAUAAAUAGACUACAAAGUGUACUUUGAGCAGCAUGUGAUUCUUCUAAUUUAUUAUUAUACUGGUAGGUUAAGCAUAGAGGUGAUUAACACUCCAGAACAUGCAGACGUUGUAGUGUCGCUGUGAGCUCAGAAACCUCAGAGACUUGGUCAUUCACUGUACGUGACGUGUGAGCAAACCUGCGGUGCUAUUUAGGAGGAAUCCUCUACACAGCUGCAACUCGCCUUACAAUGGAUGCAUCAAUUCGUUUUAACCUCUGUGUUCAUUUUAUAGAGCAAAGUCCCUUAUUCUGUCUAUUUUUAUAUCUUUGACCUCAUAUGUCUUUUUAAACCAGCAAAAACUGCCUUAAACCUCCAGAGCUGCAGACAUACAUUUUGUACAGGAGCUAUUUACCUGCACGUUAGAUGUAUUCUGGCCUAAUGAAUGUACUGUGUAAUCCCUAUUGUAUAGAUGAACGACCUGUUUAUAUUUGAGUACUAUGCACUGUUAAGAUAUACACAUUAUAGUAUAGAAAAUGUUCUAAGACUGACUGGCUUUGUAGCCUGUCUGUGGUGUUACAGAUGUAGGAUAAACAACCUCUGAGGUCAUUUGUAUCUUAGCAGCUAUUACAGGUGCUACCAGCAUAUGACAGAGUCGAGUAAUGUUUCCUAUUAUGAACGGGUUAAGCUACAUGGCCAAGUGUGUUGACUCUUUGUAGGUGCUAGAUUCAGCUUAUUUAGCCACACAGACAUGCACUCUCCUUAGACAAACAUAAGCAGUAUAAUGAGUCGUACUAAAGUGCUUAGUGAAUGUUUAAAACACGGCACUGUGAAAGGAUAGCACCUUCUAACCAGACCAGUUACAUCUGGAACGACUGCUCGGCCACAGACAUCACUAUGCCCAAUGCCAAGCACUUGCCUAAGUAGUAUUAAUCACAUCAUCAUCGGGCAGUGGUUGCACAGCAGUUAAGAUACUGAACUGGUAAACAAAAGGUUGCUGGUUCAAGCCCCAUUAUGACCAAGGUGCCACUGUUGGGCUUCUGAGCAAGGCCCUUAACUCUCAAUUACUCGAAUUGUAUUCAGUAAUAAUUGUAAGUUGCUUUGGAUUAAAGCUACAAACGUAAAUGUAUUGGACUUUGAAACAGUACAAACGGUUCCUGAGGUCGGGAAUCACUUCAGCCCUCUGGUGGUUUGAUGAUUCUGGGUUUGAUGGAUGCUGGGAGUAUGCUAUAGUUGGCAACCUGGGUUUGGUAAAGAAAAAUAUGACUGUUGGUUUGUAAUUCUGCACCGUUUAAUAAUAUUCUAAACAACUGUUUCCAGUGUUGUGGAAACUGAGAAAGGAUUGUUCCUGUUUCAGCAUGACAGUGUCCCUGUGCCCAGUGUGAGGUCCAUAAAGAAAUGGUUUGCUAAGUUUGGUCUAGUUGGAACAGAAAAUAUAAGCAGGAAUUAUUGCCCAACAUCAAUGCCUGACCUCGGUAAUGUACUUGUGGCUGACUGGAAGCAAAUCACUUCAAUAUUGUUCCAAAAUAAACAAAAAACUCCCACAGGAGUGGAGGAACCCCAUAUAAAUGUCCAAAGUGAUUGGGUGUCGGAUAUCUACAAAUGUUUGGAUAUAUUGUGCACUUAGAUAAAAGUUGAUUCAAGUGUUGAGUCACAAAUCCAUAAUCGUGAUCACUGAUGGGUAAUAAAUGGUUUCAUAAAUGAGCAAAACCUCAUAGCGCUGUUAGAAUACUGAGAUCUGCUAUAGUGAACGAUUAUACUUUAUAUAGCCCACUGAGAAACAGCUCUUUCUGGUCUCUGAGAUAUCAAGAAAGAGUUUAGAAGUGGUAACAAUCAUGCAGUAUUAUUUUCUGUAAGAGCUUUAUAUUCUUACUGGUCAUUGUAACAGUGUUGAUGGAGUAAAUGUUAAAGAAACAGUUUGUCCCUUUACUAAUGUUUACAUGAUGUUAGACUACAGAACAGCCUAAUCAUUUGUAAGCAAUAAA